GACGAACGCUGGCGGCGUGCCUAAUACAUGCAAGUAGAACGCUGAAGUCUGGUGCUUGCACUAGACGGAUGAGUUGCGAACGGGUGAGUAACGCGUAGGUAACCUGCCUCAUAGCGGGGGAUAACUAUUGGAAACGAUAGCUAAUACCGCAUAACAGUAUUUACCGCAUGGUAAUAGUGGGAAAGGAGCAAUCCGCUAAUAGAUGAGCUUGCGUCUGAUUAGUUAGUUGGUGGGGUAACGGCCUACCAAGACGACGAUCAGUAGCCGGACUGAGAGGUUGAACGGCCACAUUGGGACUGAGAUACGGCCCAG
rnacentral:rRNA from 1 species